GUCAUUGUUAUAACUAGUGACCCUAGGAACCAGGCAGCAGCUGAAAAGUUCUAAGAAAUUACUGUUUCUGAAAAGAUACAAGACUUUGCAAACAAUUCUGGGCUUGCCAGGAGUGCUGUGAAACAACUGGUGGUGACAGAGAAUUACAUCCUGUUUGAAAGGGAGCUGCUUCUAAUGAGAUCCUGGAAGAGGGAAGAGAAAAGAAAGAAGCAAGGAACCAAGGUGGAAGAAGGAAGAAAAAUGAGAAGCUGAUUUCUCUGGCUUUUGCUCCUCCAGUGUAUGUGCAGAAAAAUACUUUUCUUGGAAUGGCAAAUUCUGAGUCCUCAGUACACACAGGUAUGUUUCUGACCACAAUCAUCUACAACAUACUCAAGCAAAUACCACAGCAAAAAUAGAAAUCUUUGUGAGAGAUUUCCUACUAGCGAAAGGUAAUAAACACAGUUGCCAUC
rnacentral:lncRNA from 1 species